rnacentral:lncRNA from 1 species
UCCGCUGGGAUCCGGAGAAGCUGACCCUCUCACCGGGGGGUCUUCCCGGGGCGCCUAGGCCAGGGCGGGCCCCCAGCGUCGUCCUCUCCCACCCCCCCACUCCCCUGCCCACACAUUCUGGAUCAAAGCAGACAUGCGGCCGGCGCUCUGCGAUCCAAGGCACACUGGGGUCUUUCAUCCGGUGUUUUUAAAAAGGAGGAAACAAAAGGCUCAGAGGCAGGGCCCCAGGUGCGCUCGCCCGCGGGGGCUGCGGCGCGGACGACCGAAGAAAACCACGACUUCCUGGAAAAGUCUUCACCGUAAAUAUUAAUCUCUUUGGCAUGAAGAGGAAAACACUGCAGCUAAUUUUUCAUGGGAUAACAAAAAUAUAAACUGCAAUUUCUUUUAUUUUUUCCCUUUCGAUGGUCUUUUUAAACGAGGAGUAAAGAUUUCAACGCCAGGUCCAUUUUCCAAAUUUUGUACCAGAACCUUGAGGAUGCUUGUCUCUCGCGCGCUUCUCCGCAGACCGAACCCUCUCCGGAACUCAGAGCUGUUCACCCAAGUCAGCGGAGGAGGCCUCCUGGGACUUGAGCCUGAGGGUGGCGAAGAACCCUAGGCAGAGAUCAUCAACUUGGUACCGAUGAGUGACGCGGAGCUUGAACAUUCCAGCGACUUGCUCCAGGGCCACUCCCAGUUAAGAGGCUGAGUGUUAACUGCAAGAGGCUGAGUGUUAACUACGCCGUUGGCUCCAGGAACCGAACCGGGUUUGGAUACAGACCCAGUCACACCAUCCAUGAAAAGCUGUUUCUAUAAUAUGAAAAAUUGUUAAAUGACGCUUUAGUAAAAGCCAUUUAAAGAUCUUUUCUAAUAAAUUUUUCAUCUUUCCAAACAAUGCCGCUAAUUACCUUCUGAUACAGUGCGUUUCCAAAAUGUUUAUGAACUGAAAACAAAAAUAAAAAACUACAUUUUUAUGUUGUAAAGGGAGUGGGGGGGACUUUCUAAAAUUUGUCGUAUUAUAGCACUUCUCAUGACAACUUGACCCUUUAGGCAUAAUUUUUGACAAAAUGUCUUGUUCUUUUUCUUUUUACAGCUGAACGUCUUAAAUUCAAGGAGUAAACACAUAUAAUGAGAUAAAAGUUUAUCACUGUUAGCACAACCAAUAAUUUGCAUCGUAGUCUCAAUUUCCUCGAAUCUUUAAUAAAACCAAAGUGGUCAAGUGUUUAAAUGAU